CCUAGGACUCUCCAAUUUAACCCAGGAACUUCACCCAGAAGAGAACUUCACCAGCCUCGCUGAAAUGUCCAGCUGUCCAUGGAUACAUCCUGCCUUUCAUGUCUCCCCCAUGUGUGGUAAUUGUAUCAUUUCCAAACAUCGCAUGUUGUGGCAAACAUUCAAAAACUGCUGUGUCCCGAUAGAGGGAAUUGUUUCCAGCUGAUGGCUUAUAAACACGAAGUGUUGCAAACAGCAAGAUACCAGGAUGAAUAUCCCCCACAAGGGUGACCAUUCAUCUCAUUGAGCUGUGACUGAAGAGAUUCCAGAUGUGAGACUUUGAGUGCUAAAACCAGAAAGGUUCUGGGCAAACCAGCUGAUCACCUUGCCCACAGACUUACGAGCACAGACAGGAAGCUCCGGGCUCCAUUUUCCUUCCUCAGUGCACUUGGCAGAAUCAGCGCCAUUCAGAUAAAACCUGCAAAAGGAAAAUUCAUUCUAUCAAGGAGUAAAAUAAUCCAUCACUGACAUCUCAAAUAUCUUCUCCAUUGAGCAUUGCUUCAUGUUAAUGCUAUUGACUUCUUUUCCAUCGUAUAAUGCUGUCUUCCUGACAAACUUAGUACUCAUCUAUGGCUCAUGGAGCCUCCCAACCAAUGAUGCAGGUGAAUCACUGCAGGGUUCCACAGCUGGUGAGUGGAGAAUCCAAACCCUUAAAUCCCUCAUCUUUAAAGAGUUGGCCAAGAUGACUGUUUCUAAUAUAAAGCAAAGAACCAUCUCUUUUUCAGGAUGACAAAAGUGAACCAAACUGAGUAAUCUUCAUUAUUCAUUUUCUUACAGCCUACUGACACCAAUGAAUAAAAGCAAUGCAGUCUAUUUCCAAUGAAAAUAUAGCAUUCUGACUGGGUACUUUGGCUCAUGCCUGUAAUCCCAGCACUUUGGGAGGCCGAGAUGGGCGGAUCACUUGAGCCCAAGAGUUUGAGCCUGGGCAAUGUGGCAAAGGCCCAAUUUCUACAAAAAGUCACCAGGCCGUGGUAGUGUGUGCCUAUAGUCCAAGCUACUCGAGAGGUAGAGGUGGAAGGAAGGAUUCAAAAGGAUUUAACCUGGGAGGUCGAGGCUGCAGUGAGCCAUGAUUGUGCCACUGCACUCUAGACUGAGCAACAGAGGAAGAUCCUGUAAAAAAAAAAAAAAAAAAAAAGAAAAGAAAAGAAGGAAAGGAAGGAAAAAGUAAGGAAGGAGAGAGACAGACAAAGAAAGAAA
rnacentral:lncRNA from 1 species